AUUUAUAUAGUAUAAAAAGUAUUACUGACUUCCAAUUAGUAGGUCUAAUAAAUUAGUAUAAAUA
rnacentral:tRNA from 1 species